AUUGAACGCUGGCGGCAUGCUUUACACAUGCAAGUCGAACGGCAGCGGGGAGGAGCUUGCUUCUCUGCCGGCGAGUGGCGAACGGGUGAGUAAUACAUCGGAACGUGUCGAGAAGAGGGGGAUAACCACCCGAAAGGGUGGCUAAUACCGCAUAAAUUCUGAGGAAGAAAGCUGGGGACCUAGGAAUAGGCCUAGCGCUUUUUGAGCGGCCGAUGUCGGAUUAGCUAGUUGGUGAGGUAAAGGCUCACCAAGGCGAAGAUCUGUAGCGGGUCUGAGAGGAUGAUCCGCCACACUGGGACUGAGACAAGGCCCAGACUCCUACGGGAGGCAGCAGUGGGGAAUUUUGGACAAUGGGGGCAACCCUGAUCCAGCCAUGCCGCGUGUAUGAAGAAGGCCUUAGGGUUGUAAAGUACUUUUGUUAGGGAAGAAAAGUCAGCUGUGAAUAAUGGCUGAUACUGACGGUACCUAAAGAAUAAGCACCGGCUAACUACGUG
rnacentral:rRNA from 1 species